UACGUAGGGUGCAAGCGUUGUCCGGAAUUAUUGGGCGUAAGGAGCUCGUAGGCGGUCUGUCGCGUCGAAUGUGAAAACCCGGGGCUCAACCCCGGGCCUGCAUUCGAUACGGGCAGACUAGAGUUCGGUAGGGGAGUCUGGAAUUCCUGGUGUAGCGGUGAAAUGCGCAGAUAUCAGGAGGAACACCGGUGGCGAAGGCGGGACUCUGGGCCGAUACUGACGCUGAGGAGCGAAAGCGUGGGGAGCGAACAGG
rnacentral:rRNA from 1 species